rnacentral:rRNA from 1 species
GUCGAACGCGAAAGUUUCCUUCGGGAAACGAGUAGAGUGGCGCACGGGUGAGUAACACGUAGGUAAUCUACCUUUGGAUGGGGAAUAACAACCGGAAACGGUUGCUAAUACCGCAUAAUGCAGCGGCACCUAAUGGUGACAGUUGUUAAAGCGGGGGAUCGAAAGACCUCGCGUCUGAAGAGGAGCCUGCGGCGGAUUAGCUAGUUGGUAGGGUAACGGCCUACCAAGGCUACGAUCCGUAGCCGGCCUGAGAGGGCGGUCGGCCACACUGACACUGACAUACGGGUCAGACUCCUACGGGAGGCAGCAGUCGGGAAUUUUGGGCAAUGGGCGAAAGCCUGACCCAGCAACGCCGCGUGAAGGAUGAAAUCCCUCGGGAUGUAAACUUCGCAAGAACGGGAAGAAUAAGUAGGGGACAAUACCCCCUAUGAUGACGGUACCGUUUGUAAGCUCCGGCUAACUCCGUGCCAGCAGCCGCGGUAAUACGGGGGGAGCAAGCGUUGUUCGGAUUUACUGGGCGUAAAGGGCGCGUAGGCGGUCAGCACAAGUCAGUUGUGAAAUCUCCGAGCUUAACUCGGAAAGGUCAACUGAUACUGUGCGACUAGAGUGCGGAAGGGGCAACUGGAAUUCUUGGUGUAGCGGUGAAAUGCGUAGAUAUCAAGAGGAACACCUGCGGCGAAGGCGGGUUGCUGGGCCGACACUGACGCUGAGGCGCGAAAGCUAGGGGAGCGAACGGGAUUAGAUACCCCGGUAGUCCUAGCCUUAAACGAUGAAUGCUUGGUGUCCGGGGUUAUAAAGUCCCCGGGUGCCGUC